GUCAGAACACAGAGCAAAGCUCUCUUCUACUUCACUGAGAAAGAUCCCUGCCAUGGAGGCACUCCAGUCCUCUGGGAGUUUCUCAGCCAGCACUCUUAGGCUGGCUGGAGGCCUUGCUGUUCCCCAGACAGCCCUUCAGUGCCUCCCUGUCUUCUGUUCGUCUUUCGCUCACAAAAGCCAAAGAGGGGAAGCAUCCAUUGUCUUUGUCUGCAGGUCUGUGCAAGUGUACUUGUGAUGGCUUGUUCAUUUUCAUCAACGGACUAAGAGAGCCGUCGGUGGAUGUUCUCAGUGCUGCUUAGACAUUCCUAGGCCCCGCAGCACACGGAGUGGAGGCGAUGCCACGCUCUUCAUGCGUACUUAUUUGUUUCCUACCAGCAAUAUCAUUUUACAAAGUUCACAGAAUUAAAACAAGGCUCUUAAAGGUAAGACUUCCAGUGUUACUGAAAGUUUACGCAGUCUGCAAACACAAGGCAUUCUCAUCAGGGAGGCAGAAACUCACACUUUUGUGAUAUUUUUAAAUUGAAGAUGGCACGGUGAUUGAGAAUGUGCCAGACUAUCUGCUGGAACCUGCUUUUGCCUCCAGUUAUGUGACUUUAAUUAGGGUUAGAAGUUGCUAUCUGUUCCAGGCAGCUGUUGUGAACUUCAAACAACUUCAGACUUCAAAGGGUUUGCGGAUGGUGUGUGCUUAGAGCAGUGCUUGGCACACUGUGUCAUCACUGGUCUUACCCUUACACAGUAGCCUUUUGCUAUUGCUGGUGAACUGAAGUGGUCCUUGGGCUGAGAGGCUGCGGGGCUAGCAAGGCUGGAGGCCACAGAACCUGACUAAACCUAGGCAGCAGGGCCCAGCUGUAGCCCUGAUGUUACUGAUUUUUGCCUGCAUGCCUUUUUUUUUUCUGAAUUAUUGCUUCAUAGAACACGUGGCAAAGCCCAGCCUGUCCCCAGUGUGAUCCCUUUUGAAAAGCUGUCAUCACCAUCAUCAAAUUAGAACUGCCAUGAAAUAGCACUACACAUGAAUAAACUUCAUAGGAAAAUGUAUGCAUUUUCCUUUUAAUUCUUAGUCAUGUGAAAACUGGGUAGGGUCAAGGCAUUCUCCCCAAAUUCCACUCUGUGGUCAUUAUUUCCCUUACUUAUAAAGGAACGGCAAGAAGUGAUACUUUCCCACAGUAACUUCAAACUUGCAGGGUCAUGUGUAACUUAUUUUGAAAACGAAUUUGAAGAGUUGAAGCUCACAGUGAGGGUUAAGUGUGUGGGUCAACUCUCUCCCUGAGGAGCCUGCAAGGUGUUCCCUGACCCACCUCACUUCCAUUCCCAGUCACUCUGCUAUGCGCUCUUUAUCGGAACACUCACAUUUUCACAUCACAAACCAAGUUUUGCUGGCUCAGUAUCAUGAUGCUGCAUGUGAAUCAAAGAUAUACUACAACACUGCAGUUUCUCCUGCAUCCAUCCCCUUCAGCACUGAAUUGAUGUCAGGAUUCUUUACAAUUCUCCUUAGCUUCUGCUGAGACUCUUUUUUUCUUUCCUUUUGUCUUUUCUUUCUCUCUCUUUCUUCCCUUUCUUUUUCUUUCUCUCUUUCUUUUUCUUUCUCUCUCUUUCUUUCUUCCCUUUCUUUCUUUCUUUCUUUCUUUCUUUCUUUUUCUUCCUUCCUUUCCUUCCUUUCUUCCUUUCUUUCCUUUCUUUCUCUUCUCUUCUCUUCUCUUCUCUUCUCUCUCUCUCUCUCUCUCUCUCUCUCUCUCUCUCUCUCUCUCUCUCUCUCUCUGAUAGAUGCUGGUCUUGGAAAGUAAGUAGCAGAGCUCUUACCAGCAGCCAAGCCUCUUUAAAAUGCACCUCUGUCUUCCAAAUGAAUGUUUCCUAAGAGGGCUGUCCACUGUGAAUAUUACUAAGAAGCUGUGUUAAAUGACUGAAAAGCAAAUUGUAAUCAAAUGGCUGUCCAGGGUACAGAAUCUCAAUAGGACUUUCAUGUCUACUUUUCUAACAGGUUGUUUAUUCAAUGUCUCACCUAUCUUAAACUACCAGGGCAUGUAUAGACGAGGGCCGUCCAGAUCAGAAGACACACCCACAGGCUCUGUACUAUACAGUGACUAUCCUGUCAAGGAACUCUUCGUUUGUGGCGUUUUCUUCAAGGAAGAGAAGAUGCAUGUUCUUGGAGGGACACUAAGAGAUGGCGCCACCCACUACAGCAACUGGCCCUCAGCCUGGCCUGCAUUUACUGCUUCUCUUCAGCAGGGAGAAUGAGAACAGACUUGUUGAACAAGUCCAUGUCACUGCUACAGAAAAGCGCAAUGCUGGCUGUUUUGUUGGUCUUGCUUCCGUGAGAGAAAAUUUGUUUCCUCUUCUUUAAACAAACAAGCAUGCAUGGGGUCUGAUUCUGACUUGGAAUUUUAGUACAAUGAUCAAUAGACUGACUCCUAUAUAGGAAAAGAAAAAAAAAAAAGAUAAGAGCUUUCCCUAUCUUUUCUCACAAAUCUUUAAGAACGAAACCAAAUAGCUUCUGUUGGCCUUUGACACUGUUAUUGGACCAGUAACAAGUUUUGGUGUGUGUCAACUAAAUUGCCUGAUAGCCUAACAGACAUCUAAGCAAGCACAGCUCCACUGCACCGCUAUUUACAGUUUACUAGCACAGUUACAUGGAGAAUGGGCUUUGAGUGAGUAAGCUUAACCUGUGAGGAAAGUCCUGGAAAUAACUUAGUGCCAAGUCUCCUGAUCACGUGUCACAUCCUUCUUCAUUUGAAGCUGUCAAUCACGUUUCUCAGCAGCCCUCAGAAUCUCACUGAUAAGUGAAUAACACUGCUUUUUAUUGUUAAAUAAUAUCUCAAACAUUGAAAUGCAUGGCCUAGAGAACACACCUGUCUAUGCACAUGCUCCUAAAGCUCUUAGUUGCGCAGUGCAUCUCAGCUGCACAAAGCAGGUACAGUCUUAGCCACUAAAAGCAAGUUUACCAAUCUCUGCCAAGGCCUGGGGAACAGGGCUCAUGUGUCUUAACACUCCUACUUCUCAGGCUACCUUAGAGCAAACAUUUUGUGAUGCUGUUGAACAUUCUUUUUUACUUUUCCAGCUUUAGCAUAAGAAGGGCAAUAUAAUAAAGACUUUAAUUUCUGGAAUUUGACUUUAAACAAUGAGAAAGGAGAAAAACAAGUAUAUCACUUUGUAAGUUGAAUUAUUUUUACCUGAAAUCUGGUAAGACCUUGGCUAUGUAGUUUUUUUUUUUUUUUAAUUUCCCUUCCAUUUCUCACUCUCUGCUGCUGGUAAAUUCCAACGCUAAGUUUUAUUUGGAAAACUCAUCCUGGCUUGUGUGAUUAUAUAGAAAAAACUAUAGACUUACCUUCUGUCAGUGCUCAGGGAGCAUUCAGGUCAUGUGUUCAUUUUCUAAUUAUAAUGAAACGUUCUAAUUAAACCAUUGUUGCAAAUGGCACUAGAGCGACUUCCGUCCAUAAGCCAAAAUGUAGUGAGAUCUGAAACUCUUACCCUAGAGAAGUCAUUGCCAUGUUCGACCUACUCAUUCAUCUUUGGUUUCUGUUACUGGAUUGCCAUAGAUGGACUUUCCAUGUCCAGAGGCUUGCUUUUCUCUAGAGUAUAAAUAGGUCUAGACUAACAAAAGGAGAAGAAAAGUAUGCUGAGCUUCCACUGCAGAGGAAUGAGGAAAUGCACGCUUGCAUCUCUAAACAGGAGCACUAACUCCAUCUGUUCUGAGUCAGUGCUCAACUUACAACAUGGCUUUCCCAGCGUCCUAGGAAGUCUGUACCCCUUUCCUGCAGGCCACGGACAGUGAACCUGCUAAAUCCAGCUAAGACCCUUGUUGAAGAGAUGGCUGAGGGGCUUGGGGAGUUCUCAAUGUGAAGAUUUUGUGACUCCUAAAAAAGAUCAUGAGGGUAGAGAAUUCUCACCGGAGGUUUCUGAGUGGGUGGGUCUAGUUUCUGAGUGGGUAGGUCUAGUUUCUGAGUGGGUAGGUCUAGUUUCUGAGUGGGUGGGUCUAGUGUUCAGAACCACGGCAUUCAAAAGAGUGUCUGAGCAACGGGAUCAGAGCUUUGCAGUGACAGCUGGAGUUAACAAACUUGGCUUCGUAGUCAGGUGCUCAGGCAGCCAAUCAAAUGUUACUUCUGAGAAGGAAGCAGGUGUCAGCGCAGUGUGACCCGAAGCUUCUCUUCCUGACCAUGAGACUCCAGAUCUAGUGUGCAGACUAGAAGCUAGAGAGCUGAAUUUUCUCAAACUAUUUUCUAUGCUCUGAUCUCAGCUCUCACUACCUAGAUACUGAACUAGGAGCACAAACAGUGGCAGGACUUUAUGCAUCUCCUCCUCACAAGCCCUGCAUAUGUAAACUGUAAGCCUAAUCUAACAAACCCUUCUAAGGAGACUCUUUCUGAAGAAGGUAGGAUCCUACAUGGGUUUUGAUUUCCUUUAUCCUUAAGAGGUUUCCGCCUGCAGAUCAUAUAGCUGAAAAUGCUUUAAAUUAUAAACAAGAAUGAUGUGCUUUCCCUAUGAUUAGCAGCACUAAAAGUUUGCUGCUGUCUGUACCUGAACAGAGGGAUGUGGGUAUGGAGGCAGAAGCGGGGGGGGGGGGGGGUGGGGAUGAAAAGCAAGCAUGCAUCAUGCCAAAGCAGGGGAGGAUGUAUUAAAAUAGGCCUGUUCCUUUCCAGAGGUUGUAACUUGGAUAAGUUGCUAAAAAUGGGAUGUCAGAAAGAUACUGAAUACUAGAAGCCCACCAACAGUUGGGUUUCAACCUGCAGUAGAGGAUUUAAGCUCAGUAGUACAGCACUUGCCUAGCAUGCAAAAAAUUCUGGGUUCAAUCCCGCAAAUCAGAUGCACAGCAACAAAAGGAGAGAGUUAAAGAGAGCAUGUCAAAAGGACUUACAUUUUGUUCCAUAAUGAAUCUCCUUAUAAGCCAUUUUUAACCCAAUAGUUCUACAAACUAGACUUAUCUACUUGACCCUUUACAACUAUUACACUGCAGAUAUUUCCCACUAUUUAUAAGGAAAUAUGAGACAAAUGAAAUCUAUCAAUAAUGGAUUUUUUAAAUUAAAGUUCUAUGGUUCUAAUUAAACAAAAGCUAAGGGAAAAAUCUACUUCAUUAUUUUUCUUUCAAGAAAUUUCUUAUGGGAGCACAAACUUCUAUAAGAACUUGAUGCUUUAAAACUAAGUUUAUUUUAUUAUAAUAUUAAAAAAAUCCAAACAAAGGCAGACACAUUCUAACAUAGUCCAUACUCCUACAGAGAAAUGAAGAUUACAGCAUGCUAAAUCCAAUUAUAUGAUAUGAAUGACGUGUAAUCAUAGUACCAUCCACCUGUGGCUCACGCUGUACAAUUCAUCAGAACUGUGUUCGGUAGCUAGGUGUCAAAUUAUUGCACAAGCUUGUGGGCCAAGCACAUUCCCUCCAGGCAGCAAGGUCUCCACCUUCAUUCUAGCAUCAGGACCAGAAAGUCAGUACCAGAUUUUAUAGUCACAUUUAUGGAAUUGAUAACAAACUCUUAAUUUACUUGUCUAUCAACCUACUCUUGUUAGAGGUUGGCAGUUGCACUAAUUAUUAACCUUCAUUAUUAUAAUCACUGUGAGCCCUUAGAACCCUAGAGAUUACUAGAGUUGAAACUUAAUAGCAGCUUUGCAGAACUUUGUUGUCUAUUGGUAAAGUUGAGUAAACACAUUUCCUAAUUGCCUUGUAAUGACUAACAGGCUGGUCUUUAAUUGUUUGACAUGUCUAUAGCUCAACUCUAUUAUGCUCUUCCUUGUUAGUUACAUAAGGUUUGUUCAGGCAGGCCUUAGAGUAUCUUAGAAUGGGGUUACUAAGAACAUUGGAUGGCUCUGCUUCUACAUCUUCUAUCUUUAAUAUUAAAUGAGUCCUUUCCCCCCUAAAGGUUGUAAAACUGUAAUAGCACAUCCAUUAUAAGGAAGGCCAUGGCUAUCAAUCUUUGUGAACUACUUCAUCAGAAGAUUUCAAGUGCUUCUCUGGUAGAAUAUUUUCCUCCUGUCCACUUCAAGCUGAUGGAUACACAUCAGUUAAAGUGUGUCACACAGCUGAGGUUACAGAAUCUUGAAUAGAAUUUAGAACACAUGCCAUGUCAACACAUGGAUGUAGUGUGCCUUGUCAAAAAAAUAAAAAAUAAAAAAUAAAUAAGAAGA